AAGUCGUAACAAGGUUUCCGUAGGUGAACCUGCGGAAGGAUCAUUAAAUUUCGGUAGUCUACUACCGUUUGAGGGAGGUAGAAACUGGGCAGCUAUAGCUGUGCAGAAGUAUACUUCUCUUCUCAACCCUUGACUUUUUGCGCACUUGUGUUUCCUCGGCAGGCAUGCCUGUCGAUUGGACAAAUCAAUAACCUUUUUAAUUUUCAAUCAGCGUCUGAAUUAUUUUAAUAAUUACAA
rnacentral:misc_RNA from 1 species